rnacentral:lncRNA from 1 species
GCUUAAUAGUAUGUGAUGAAAAGGUUCAAGUUUGGGGUUGUACGGGGGAAAGUUGAAAAAAAAAACAAGAGAAAUGCAUUGAGCUCAAUUGUUGUGAAAAGAGAAAAAUUCAUGAGAAAAAGAAAAGAAAAGAAGAAAGACAUGAAGAUGAGCUCAAUGAAAAAGAAAAGAAAAGGGAAGAGUUGGGAAUGAGAGAUAUUGGUGAGAGAGUUGUGCUUAAAUAUUUAAUAUUUUAUUAGCUCUCAUUACAAGCUUUGGAAAAGUCCUUUUGAUGGCAUUUGCAUGUAAAGACGUUGAUUGUUUGAGAUGAAUGGCAAUUUUGUUUCAUGUAACUUGUGAACAACAGAGAGUGGAGUGUCACCUUAAACACUUGAGUGAUUGAGUGAAACACUUGCUUGGUAUGAACUGUUGAUUUUCAUGAGUACAUUUUUGCUUAGUGGAUUGAUCAUUUAUAAUGUAUAACAAUUUUGUUGUUGUUGCUUCGUCAACUUGUCUAAUUUCUGACUAAGAAGGUGAUUCUGAGCAACUGCAGCGUCUUCAGUAGGAAGAUGCAAGAGUCCUCCUUUUUGUAUGCCCCUCUCACUCUGCGACACUUCGUUUAAAGCCAUCUCUUCAAUCAAGUCAUACGCCUCGUCUUCCGUUUUUCUAUUGAUACUACCUCCAGUUGAGGCAUCUAACAUCAUCUUGGAAUGAGCACGUAAACCUCCAAGGAACGCAAGCAAAUAUGAAGUCUUAUCGAACCCAUGGACUGGGGUCACCCUCAAUAAACUUUUAAAUUUAUCCCAUGCUUGCCCAAGAGUUUCCUCCAUCCCUUACUUGAACGAAGAGAUCUCCAGCUUCCCUUGAUUAAUUUCUGGAAUUGGGAAGAAUUUAGUAACAAAUUGCUGUGCCACUGCUUCCCAAGUCCUGAACGUUCCUUCAGGGAAAGAAUUCAACCAAUCCUUUGCGUUUCCUCCAAGAGAGAAAGGAAACAAACUAAGUCUGACUUUGUCAUCCGACACUCCAGUUAUCUUGACCGUGUUGCAAAUCUCACCAAAGAUGGUCAAAUGCUUGUAAGUUUUUCAUUUGACAACCCAUGCAAUUGAUUAUUCUGCACUAAUUGGAUGAGCGCCAGACUCAUCACCAUGUUGGUUGCAUUAUCAGCUGGAACUGAAAUGCUAUUGAAGUUCAAGGGGCCUACUGCAUUUGUUGCAUCCCCCAAAGUAUGUCUCGGAGGAGGUUGGUUGGCCAUCUCCUCAAGAUCUGGUGCAAAAGUAUCAAGCGAAGACUGCGAAAUAGCUUCAGGAGAAAGAGCUCUCUCACGUGAAGGACGUCUCUUUCUACUCCCGUUAGGUAAACCUUCUAAAAGAGGUUGCUGGUCCUUUUUGCUCCUAAUAUGUAUUGUUUCCUACAUACACAAGAAACACACCCUAAAAGCACUUUUAUAGAAAAAUAAAAUAAAACGCAAUUAAAGAAAAAUAAAACAAAAAUAAUUACAACCAAGUCAAAUUCAAUCAAUUCACACUACUAGAAAAAUAAACCUCGAGUCCCCGACAACGACGCCAAAAACUUGUUAACGGAUUGGCAAGCGUACUAAAUCGUUCAAGUAAUAAAAAUGGUAAGACCAAGUAUCGUUUUCCCAAGAGACUCGAAAGGCUUCA